GUGGAGCAUGUGGCGCAAUUUGACUCAACGCGGGGAAUCUUACUAGGUCCGGACCGAUUCUAUGAUCGUCGUACUGUGGGGUGCUACGUGAUUACUGGAUGAGUGGUGCAUGGCCGUUCUUAGUUCGUGGUGUCAGUUGUCUACUUAAUUGUCAUUGGUUCUCGUAUCUUACGGUACAGAACUGAUAACGAACGAGAUCGAGGCCCGUGGUUGUGUCGUUGGUUAUUAUUGUGUGCGGCAUUAACCACGGGGAUCGCGUAAUACUCCACGGUACGAUCGAAAGACUCGGCAAUAACAGGUCUGUGAUGCCCUCAGAUGUUCUAGGCUGCACACGUGCUACAUUGUGGUUUCGCGUAGUGUGUGUGUGCAUAGAACUGAUAAGAUCCCCCGCACCGAGUCUCAAUUAAUCACUUGGUUGGACUCACCGAUUGUAUAAUUAUUCGGUAUACUA
rnacentral:rRNA from 1 species